rnacentral:rRNA from 1 species
ACUAAACAGCUAGCUCAACCCAACACGACCAAGCCUACAACAUACACUAGUCUAAUAAAAACUAAUCUUGUAAACUAAACCAUUCGACCACCCCAGUACGGGCGACGGAAAAGGACCCACGAAGCCAUAGAUAAAGUACCGCAAGGGAAAGCUGAAAGAGAGAUGAAAUAGCGCACUAAAGUGAAUAAAAGCAGAGACGCAACCUCGUACCUUUUGCAUCAUGAUCUAGUUAGUAACCCCAAGCAAAGAGACCUCUAGUUUGAACCCCCGAAACCCGACGAGCUACUCCGGGACAGCCUAUUAUAGGGCCAACCCGUCUCUGUGGCAAAAGAGUGGGAAGAUCCCCGAGUAGAGGUGAAAGACCUACCGAGUCAGGUUAUAGCUGGUUGCCCAAGAAAUGAAUAGAAGUUCAGCCCCGUUGAAACCCUUACCCACCAUAGUUUCACUAAAGUUAGGAAUAAAGGAUAACUACGGGAGUUAGUUGAAGGAGGUACAGCUCCCUUAACAAAGGACACAACCUUCACAGGAGGCUAAGAGAUAUACCAGACUAAGGCCACAGGUUUCAGUGGGCCUAAAAGCAGCCACCUGAACAGAAAGCGUUAAAGCUCAGACCAAAUCAAGCCUAUUAUACCAUCAAGUGCCCUCAAUGCCCCUAACAAAUACUGGGCCCCCCUAUGCCACCAUAGGAGAGACCAUGCUAGAACGAGUAAUAAGAAGAAUGAACUUCUCCCUGCACACGUGUAAGUCGAAUCGGACCUACCAUCGACAACUAACGAACUCAAUAACAGAGGGCCAUGCGCUCCCGCCACCCCUGGCCAAGAAAACCCCGCAAUACCACGAUCGUUAACCCCACACAGGUGUGCACACUAAGGGAAAGACUUAAAGAAUAAAAAGGAACUCGGCAAACCUAAACCUCGCCUGUUUACCAAAAACAUCGCCUUCUGCCCACACAAGUAUAGAAGGUCCCGCCUGCCCUGUGACCAAAAGUUUAACGGCCGCGGUAUUUUAACCGUGCAAAGGUAGCGCAAUCAAUUGUCUUUUAAAUGGAGACCUGUAUGAAUGGCAUAACGAGGGUUUAACUGUCUCUUUUUUCUGGUCAAUGAAACUGAUCUGCCCGUGCAGAAGCGGGCAUGCCAACACAAGACGAGAAGACCCUAUGGAGCUUUAGACGCCCACCAAUCACCAAAAGAAACCCGGCUAACGGAAUUCCAAACCAGCGUGAUCCUGGCACAAACGUCUUCGGUUGGGGCGACCGCGGGGGAAAACAAAGCCCCCGAGAGGAUAGGGAAAACCCUAAAACCAAGAGCCACAGCUCUAAGUCACAAAAUAUUUGACCGUCAAUGAUCCGGCUUCUAGUCGAUCAACGGACCAAGUUACCCUAGGGAUAACAGCGCAAUCCCCUCCCAGAGUCCAUAUCGACGAGGGGGUUUACGACCUCGAUGUUGGAUCAGGACAUCCUAAUGGUGCAGCCGCUAUUAAGGGUUCGUUUGUUCAACGAUUAAAGUCCUACGUGAUCUGAGUUCAGACCGGAGUAAUCCAGGUCAGUUUCUAUCUGUGACGCCAUCCUUCCUAGUACGAAAGGACCGGAAUGAUGAGGCCUAUGCUUGAAGCACGCCUCUCCCCAACCCGAUGAAGACAACUGAAGCGGGUAAAGGGGGGUAAACCUCCCAGCCCAAGAAAAGGGCGC